GGCACUGGGCAAGAGUCAGUAGCUCUGUGGAUACGCAUGUGGUCAGCAAAGACGAGCAGAAAUGAACCCAUGCUCGGUGCGGGCUGUCCUGCUUUCCUGAGCUCAGCUGCUCGAGUGUGUUUCAAGAAGAAUAAUAGUAAAAGCUGAAUGCCUCUGCCACUGAUCGCCGUCCCCUCAUGUCCUGAUUUAGUGAGAGCCACAGAGUGAUCCUGGCCACAUCUCAGAGGACACCAUACUGAUUCCAGCUGGGAACCAAGAUGAGUAAGAUGCAAUCCCUACCUCCAAGGAGGCCAAGACGGGAACAAGAACCUCUAGGUAUCAACUUCCACUUCUCUUCUCUGGAAAAUUUGAGGGCUGUCUCCAAACGGUGCUUCGAUUGCGAGUCAGAGGGAGAAGAAUGUUCAGGUCCCGUAAGCAGAAGCCCCCACAGAGUGUGUUUGCUGGUAACCAGCUUUUCUCAGGUUGUAAUGACUGAAGGUGAAUGAAGGAUUGAAGGCUUCGGGUGGAGAAUUAUCAAUCAGAUAGGGUGAAUAAACUCAAUUCCUCCAAAACACGAGCUAUUUCAAAGGUCACUGUCUUAAGAAAAAAUGUUGAUCAAUGGUCUCUUUCAGGAAAUCAACUCCGUUGAAAUAUAAUUUAUACUGCUUUUUACUUUUGUCUUCUUUCAGUGAAUUAAACUAUAGCCAC
rnacentral:lncRNA from 1 species